GACGAACGCUGGCGGCGUGCUUAACACAUGCAAGUCGAACGGAAAGGCCCUGCUUUUGUGGGGUGCUCGAGUGGCGAACGGGUGAGUAACACGUGAGUAACCUGCCCUUGACUUUGGGAUAACUUCAGGAAACUGGGGCUAAUACCGGAUAGGAGCUCCUGCUGCAUGGUGGGGGUUGGAAAGUUUCGGCGGUUGGGGAUGGACUCGCGGCUUAUCAGCUUGUUGGUGGGGUAGUGGCUUACCAAGGCUUUGACGGGUAGCCGGCCUGAGAGGGUGACCGGCCCCAUUGGGACUGGGAUACGGCCCAGACUCCUACGGGAGGCAGCGGUGGGGAAUAUUGCACAAGGGGCGGAAGCCUGAUGCAGCAACGCCGCGUGCGGGAUGACGGCCUUCGGGUUGUAAACCGCUUUCGCCUGUGACGAAGCGUGAGUGACGGUAAUGGGAAAAGAAGCACCGGCUAACUACGU
rnacentral:rRNA from 1 species